ACAGAAAGGUCUUUUCUUCCAGAACUGCCCCACUGAUGCAGGCAAAGCAGAGGCCAGGCUGCCCUUUCUGGAUUGUGCUGCUCCUGUCAAGAGGUGCAACUCACAUCUGGACCUCAAGCAUUUGUGAAGCCUCUGUGUGGUCAAAUCUGCUGCACAAUCUCUCCUCGGACUUCAUCUGAGUAACACCAGUUACUGAGAGAUCAGAAAACAUUAUUUCAGAUACACAGCCAAGGAGAGAUUCACCUCCCCUAAGAGGCAGCACAUCCUGCCCCGUGACUUGGCCCUGGCCGCAGCCAACAUCUACAAAGUCAGGAGGAAAAAAAACAACAACAAGAAAACAGAAGCCAAGUUAUGCAGCAGAGGGGGAACAAAAAUAUUUCCCGGGUCGCGGCGGGUGACCGGCAGAAACCCCGAAGGAAAGGCGCAGUAAAUACAAAGCACGGCGGCUCGGACAAACAGCCCGGCUCGAGGCUCCGGGAGCAACCCCGGCAGCGCUCCAGGGACCAGGGACGGUGGCGGUGCCCGCGGGACGGGCCAGCACUCCCAGUCCUGCUCGGGGACAUAAACAGGACGCCCCACCUCUGGCAGAUAGCGAUCAGCUGGACAAGGCAGAAGAGGGAAGAGGCCGGGGCCCCGCUGCGUCCCGGUCACUGUGAAAUGACAAAGCAUUGUUGCAAAUGACAAAGUGCGAGCGGUGCUGCACAGAGCUUCCACACCGACCGCAAGAGGAGGGGACGAUCCGUGCGGCUCCUGCAGCACCGGGGUCUGCUCCCUCGCCUGUGCUCCACGCUGGUGACUAUUUAACACACCAGAAGCAGUAACGACUGAAUUCUUCUGAGCAAAAAGCACUUAUAAUCGGAUAAUGGCCACUGAGCAUCAGUAGGUGAGUUGCCGAAAGCCUGAAGGAAACCAUGAGAUUUUUUUUUUCCACCCACAACACUAUUAUGAAGCUGACAAGGUCCUGCUCUCUGCAAUUCCUAUUAAUUUUACUGCCUGACCUUCAAGAUUUAAAACAGCUUUGUCUGACAUUCACGGGGCAGACAGGUAUUGUUACAUGCCGACCUAACCCAGGUAGCAGCCACGGGUUGUUCUCCACAAAUGACUGCACUCCAGUCAGCUUUGGAAAACUCUCUGCUUUUUUUACAGGGAAAUACUAAGUAAACGAGAAUCACUUUAAAUCCCAUUCUCCCUUUCCACCCUCAGGGAAACACAACACAUGCCAGAGAACAGAAAUCACUGCUCAUCCUGUAUUCAAACAACAGGCAAGAUAAAAUCCUUAGAAAUCCUUGAAUACCCAGCAGAUGAUGACAUACACUGAGCCAUACUAUACCUGUCGUUUAAACCCUCUGUGACUUGAAAAAAUCAAAUACACUGCAGUUAUACCAGCCAGGGGCAAAGGAGGCGUGACCAGCUGGUCAUUCUUUUCCUUCCAGGACUCUGAUUUCUCCAGCAGAGUCUUUUUUUAUCCUCUAUGUAACAACCAAAAUAGAGAGAAAUAAAAAAGAACUAAAAUAGCAACAGUACAAGAAAAAACACCAUCAGGAGUUCCUGUUCACAAGGCUAUCCUGGCAUUCAUCUGGGGCUGUUGACAUAUUUAAUAGUCAUCCGGUCUCUGCCAGCUGGAUGCCAGCUUCAAACUCGAACCCACGACUGUGAUAACUUCUUGCUUCAUGUUACAGUUCAGGCACUGCUAUUUUCCCUGUAGUGCUAGCAGCGCAGCUUCUUCUGAGGAACAGCUUAUCUGAAGGCAUCCUGAAAAAUACACUUACAUGGGCAAUCUCCAAGUUUCUCCCACCUGGGGAAGCAAGGAUUUUGCUUCCAUGUUAUGUUAAGGAAGGAUUUUUUCUGAGUGAAUUGUAGCAAAGAAAGCUUAUUGCUUUGCUGUCAAAGGAAGAUGUGUGUUACCAUCAUUUUAGUACAAUUU